rnacentral:rRNA from 1 species
GACGAACGCUGGCGGCGUGCCUAAUACAUGCCAGUUGAGCGCUGAAGGUUGGUACUUGUACCGACUGGAUGAGCAGCGAACGGGUGAGUAACGCGUGGGGAAUCUGCCUUUGAGCGGGGGACAACAUUUGGAAACGAAUGCUAAUACCGCAUAAAAACUUUAAACACAAGUUUUAAGUUUGAAAGAUGCAAUUGCAUCACUCAAAGAUGAUCCCGCGUUGUAUUAGCUAGUUGGUGAGGUAAAGGCUCACCAAGGCGAUGAUACAUAGCCGACCUGAGAGGGUGAUCGGCCACAUUGGGACUGGGACACGGCCCAAACUCCUACGGGAGGCAGCAGUAGGGAAUCUUCGGCAAUGGACGAAAGUCUGACCGAGCAACGCCGCGUGAGUGAAGAAGGUUUUCGGAUCGUAAAACUCUGUUGGUAGAGAAGAACGUUGGUGAGAGUGGAAAGCUCAUCAAGUGACGGUAACUACCCAGAAAGGGACGGCUAACUACGUG